AUUGAACGCUGGCGGCAGGCCUAACACAUGCAAGUCGAGCGAGCGGCGGACGGGUGAGUAAUGUCUGGGAAACUGACUGAUGGAGGGGGAUAACUACUGGAAAAGGUAGCUAAUACCGCAUACCAUCAGAUGUGCCCAGAUGGGAUUAGCUAGUAGUGUGGGUAACGGCUCACCUAGGCGACGAGCCCUAGCUGGUAUGAGAGGAUGACCAGCCACACUGGAACGGAGACACGGUCCAGACGCCAACGGGAGGCAGCAGUGGGGAAGAUUGCACAAUGGGAGCAAGCCUGAUGCAGCAAUGCCGCGUGUGUGAAGAAGGCCUUAGGGUUGUAAAGCACUUUCAGCGGGGAGGCGUUACCCGCAGAAGAAGCACCGGCUAAGACCGUGCCAGCAGCCGCGGUAAUAC
rnacentral:rRNA from 1 species